rnacentral:rRNA from 1 species
AAAUUGAAGAGUUUGAUCAUGGCUCAGAUUGAACGCUGGCGGCAGGCCUAACACAUGCAAGUCGAACGGUAACAGGAAGCAGCUUGCUGCUUYGCUGACGAGUGGCGGACGGGUGAGUAAUGUCUGGGAAACUGCCUGAUGGAGGGGGAUAACUACUGGAAACGGUGGCUAAUACCGCAUAACGUCGCAAGACCAAAGAGGGGGACCUUCGGGCCUCUUGCCAUCAGAUGUGCCCUCUUGCCAUCAGAUGUGC